rnacentral:rRNA from 1 species
UACGUAGGGUGCGAGCGUUAAUCGGAAUUACUGGGCGUAAAGCGUGCGCAGGCGGUUUUGUAAGCCAGAUGUGAAAUCCCCGGGCUUAACCUGGGAAUGGCAUUUGGGACUGCAAGGCUUGAGUGCGGCAGAGGAGACUGGAAUUCCUGGUGUAGCAGUGAAAUGCGUAGAUAAUCAGGAGGAACACCGAUGGCGAAGGCAGGUCUCUGGGCUGACACUGACGCUCAUGCACGAAAGCGUGGGGAGCAAACAGG